rnacentral:rRNA from 1 species
CAGCCGCCGCGGUAAUACAGAGGGUGCGAGCGUUAAUCGGGUUUACUGGGCGUAAAGCGUGCGUAGGCGGCUUCUUAAGUCGGAUGUGAAAUCCCUGAGCUUAACUUAGGAAUUGCAUUCGAUACUGGGAAGCUAGAGUAUGGGAGAGGAUGGUAGAAUUCCAGGUGUAGCGGUGAAAUGCGUAGAGAUCUGGAGGAAUACCGAUGGCGAAGGCAGCCAUCUGGCCUAAUACUGACGCUGAGGUACGAAAGCAUGGGGAGCAAACAGGAUUAGAUACCCCUGUAGUCCCUGUCUCUUAUAC